rnacentral:rRNA from 1 species
CCUACGGGUGGCAGCAGUGAGGAAUAUUGGUCAAUGGACGAGAGUCUGAACCAGCCAAGUAGCGUGAAGGAUGAAUGCCCUAUGGGUUGUAAACUUCUUUUAUAUGGGAAUAAAACGUUCCACGUGUGGGAUUUUGUAUGUACCAUAUGAAUAAGGAUCGGCUAACUCCGUGCCAGCAGCCGCGGUAAUACGGAGGAUCCGAGCGUUAUCCGGAUUUAUUGGGUUUAAAGGGAGCGUAGGUGGAUUGUUAAGUCAGUUGUGAAAGUGUGCGGCUUAACCGUAAAAUUGCAGUUGAAACUGGCAGUCUUGAGUACAGGAGAGGUGGGCGGAAUUCGUGGUGUAGCGGUGAAAUGCUUAGAUAUCACGAAGAACUCCGAUUGCGAAGGCAGUUCACUGGACUGCAACUGACACUGAGGCUCGAAAGUGUGGGUAUCAAACAGGAUUAGAUACCCGUGUAGUC